rnacentral:rRNA from 1 species
UACGGAGGAUGCGAGCGUUAUCCGGAUUUGUUGGGUUUAAAGGGUGCGUAGGCGGGAUGCCAAGUCAGCGGUAAAAAUGCGGUGCUCAACGCCGUCGAGCCGUUGAAACUGGCGUUCUUGAGUGGGCGAGAAGUAUGCGGAAUGCGUGGUGUAGCGGUGAAAUGCAUAGAUAUCACGCAGAACUCCGAUUGCGAAGGCAGCAUACCGGCGCCCUACUGACGCUGAGGCACGAAAGCGUGGGUAUCGAACAGG